ACUAGAGCACUCCUGCAGCUAUGGCAACCUCACACUGCUGUGGGGUGGGACACAGCACAAGGGCUGCAGUGGCUUGUCAUGUAAUACAGUACAUCUAAAACAACAGAUUCUCAGUGGUGGAGAGAAGAUUGAUGAACGCGAUUGAUUGAUGCAUAGUUGUUCCCGAAAUUCCUCAAGAUUGGAGAUUACUGUUGGUAAUUACUACAGCCUGCCAAAUUAGGAAGCGGAGAAAGAAAACACUGGUACUGGUAGACCAAAUGGCAACGGUAAUGUGGCUGCCACACUCCCCUUGAAGAAGAGGGGAGGUAGAGUAGAGUGAGGGGUGAAGAGGCUAUGGCCCAAUCACCUGUACUAUGGGGAAUCACAAGAGGAGGAGGUGUUCUUUGAGAACUGCAAGCCUCCCUCUCGAGAUGCUGUCACCCUGCCCAACUAUGUUAUCUACCUGUUCCUAUCAUCAGGGGUGGCUCUGAUUGCCACGUACACCAUUAUCAGGCACCUCAUCAAAGUCCUGAUUCAGGACCUAGCAGACUACCUGUUUGGGCUGCAGCCUGACAAGGAGGUGGUUAACCCCUGGGAGUUUAGGGACAAGUUCCAGGUGGACUGGUGUCCAGAGACCAACGCUGAGCUGGAGGCCAUGGUCAAGGCGGAGGAGAUCCACGUGAGCCAUGGCCCCCACGCACCAGCCCCAGGGUCGCCUUCGGCCGGAUGAGCUAGUUACAAAGGAGCAGACACAGACUCAUAUUGCUUGGGACAAGGCAGGGUACACAGUAACAUGUGGCAGAUGCACUGUAAACAGUAUGCCAAAUGAGAUAUACUGUGUUGUAUUCAUGUACUUAUAACUGCAUUACACAAUAAUCUCCACAUGAUGUCAGAAUGACAAGAGCUUCAUAAGUGACCAGUCCUUGUUGUAUUGUUACUGUUUAGACUAGGCCUUUUGACCUUUUCUUGACCAUAUGAAGAGGAAAUGCUUUCAAAACUUUCAACUGUGAGCUAUGUUGUUGAACACAUGUAUAUUGUCACGCCCUGACCUGAGAUAGC